rnacentral:pre_miRNA from 1 species
AUCACCCAGAGUUCUUGUUAAAAGGCAGAAUCUCAGCUUUUACCCCAACACUGAGAUUCUGCAUUUCUAACAAGCUCCCAGGUAAUGCAGA